rnacentral:rRNA from 1 species
AACGAACGCUGGCGGCAGGCUUAACACAUGCAAGUCGAACGCCCCGCAAGGGGAGUGGCAGACGGGUGAGUAACGCGUGGGAACGUGCCCUUCGCUUCGGAAUAGCCCCGGGAAACUGGGAGUAAUACCGAAUACGCCGUAUUGGGAAAGAUUUAUCGGCGAAGGAUCGGCCCGCGUUAGAUUAGCUAGUUGGCGGUGUAAUGGACCACCAAGGCUACGAUCUAUAGCUGGUCUGAGAGGAUGAUCAGCCACACUGGGACCGAGACACGGCCCAGACUCAUACGGGAGGCAGCAGUGGGGAAUCUUGGACAAUGGGCGCAAGCCUGAUCCAGCCAUGCCGCGUGGGUGAAGAAGGCCUUAGGGUUGUAAAACUCUUUCGCCGGAGAAGAUAAUGACGGUAUCCGGAGAAGAAGCCCCGGCUAACUUCGUGCCAGCCGCCGCAGUAAUAC